ensembl:misc_RNA
AAUCCUGUCACACCUGAGAUUUAAGUGCUUACAACCAGAAAAAUCUGCAUAUUCAUUCAGCACUGCAGAAGAACUUGUGGACUUCUUUGCCUGAGUUAAAGCUGGAAUAUUUGGGAGUUUGGAGAAUCAAG